UCCAGAGCUGGCCCCUGGGACCGGGUGUCUGAUGGCGUGACCAGCCCAGGAAGAGGGACAGCAGAGCCCGGAGAGCACAGGAACAGCCCUGGUCAGCAUCAGGGAGGGCUCUCCCACCCCGACGACAGCUGGAAAUUCUUUCUGCUCUGCUGCAAGCUGAGUGUGACAAACCGGAGACUUUUCAAACCCAGUCCCAAACACAGGCAUUCUCCCCUCGUCAGUCUGUCUCCUGGGCCUCCGCGAGACCGCUGUACUUCCCACGCAAAGCAAAAACAUUCGACUGUGGGAGUCCUUUCCUGGGUCAGCUUGCUCCUGCUUAUCCUUGAAAGGGAGCAUGAGCGCCUCCUGAGAACUGUUUUUCUGCUCCAGGUUGUAUGGAAUGUGGUAUAGAGGACUCUCGAAAGGUCCCUUGUCACUCCCAGCAGCGACGGCACCAUCUGCGCCAUCCCCAGGGUGGCAGGGUGUUGUGUUUCCUCAGCCAAGUCUUUGAAAUUUACCAAAAGGAGUGAGUCUCAGGCAUGAUCCUUCCACUGGCUUUUGUGAAGGUAAACGAACCCAUUCCUUCUGAAACUGAAAAACAGUAUCUUUCGCUGGCUUUGAGGUAAGGCCACCGCUAGACUGGCAGCAAGGAGAACUGGAAAUGAGUCUAACAGGCGCUGGGAUGCCCCAGGCCGAAUCCGGUGGUGGAGCUGAGGGUGUUCUGUGUGGUGGAGGCCCCAGCACAAAGACCCACAUAAGCCCUUGCCGAAUGAAAAAGCUUGGCUGUCUCCAAAUUCCCACAAAGUGACCUAUGUGACUACCCGGUGUGGACGGUCGUGCCGAGGGGUGGUGUCCUAUUUGACUUUUAGAAAAACACACUGAUUUGUUUAUUUUUAUACGGUGCAUGUCCUUAGAGGAGCUUCAAGCCUUAACAAGCUUCAGAAAUCUUCCUGCUAUGAAGACGGUGCCGUGGGGAGUGCAGGAAAUGCUCUGCCCACCCCUGCAGAAGACCUAGCUGGGGGAAAGCUUUAUCGUGGGUGUUGAGGGUUAGAGGGGAGGAAGAUUUAGAGGAGAACAAAGAGGGAGAUUUUUUCCCUGGAGACGCUGGGGGUGAUGGCAUCCUUUGCUAAAAAAGGGAAUCCCAUUAAAUGCAGCUUCUGAUCCGGGAAUGAGGGCGGGGGACGACAUAGCACAAAGGGAAAGGAGCCGAUGAUGUCCCACCUUGGGCCGGGAUGCGGAGGGAGGCUGUGAAAAGUGACUCACUCUGUGAGGACUCAUGGGCACCUGCUCGAGGACACACUGUGGUCACCCCAGCGACCUGCAGCUGCUACCCCGGGCCAGGGAAGGUGGCAACCCCACUCUGAGGUCAAGCAGUUUCCCUUUCCCAGCCCCUGGGAACCCCCCUCACCUCUCCCACAAGGCCACGUCUGGAAGCCGGUGAGCGCUCCUGGCAUAGCCCUGAGUAGGGGGAGCUCUGCUGGGGACGGAGGACAGGCCACCGGCACUUCCUGCCCUGGGACGACAAGCCAACCUCCCGGCUGGACACCCCACUCUCAGCUUGUUUGCUCAGUUUGAUUCUCUUUCUCCCCCUGGCGAGCUUCAGCAUGGAGCUGUUUGUGGUUCAUCAGCAGUUUAUGGAAACUGUGGCGUCUGGGGAGGAAAGAGGAGGGAGUUCUCAGAUGCCGUGUCCUGGGCCUUCCCAGUAGGUCUCCCCAGGCCUGGGGCGGGCCUCCCUGGGCCAGACCCUCAGCUCUUGUCAGAGCCCCUCAUGGUGUACUUUUUAGGCCCCUUGGGACAUGGACCAAUGCCUGCCAGAAACCGUGUGGGCUCCUUCCCUCCAAAUCAGAACUUCCUUUCUUUCUUCCCUCUGCAAAGACCUGGGGGUUUCUUUGCCUUUCAGCCCCCGACUCUUCCUCACUUUGCAAGAAGGACGCAGGAGGUGGGGCGUCUGGCCUUCCUACGGCCUUGUCCUCCCCGGUGAUCUAUGGCUGCUCCUGCACUGCCAGACCCCCUCUUUCCCCUGCACCACAGCGGGAGGGGGAUGGGUGGGGGCUGGGGGACACAGCCUCCAGCCCUUCCUGGCGUUGCUCCUCCACAUCUAUCCGUCCCCUCGUUCUAUCCACCCAUCCCUGUGUUCCUUGUCCCUGCCCCGUGCCCCUGGUGAUUUGUCCACAUUGGAGGAGGGAAGCUCUGAAGGAUUUGUGCAGAGACCCUGGACAGAGGAAGAUAAAUGGAAUUUGCAAUAAAUCUAGGAGCAAAGUUGUAACUUGACUUAAAAACAAACAAAAGGGCCAGAACUGCACUUAAGCUCAGCAGAAGCUCAUCUCCCAGUGUAAACAGAAAAGGGCGGACGUGGGCCAAAGAGCCUCGCUCUGGCCUGGGACAGCCAGGGAGGGGUCUGGAGCAGGCUGGCGGCCGCCCACUUCCUUUGGAAGGGACUGGUGGAGAGGUCUCUGCAGCCUCGUGAAUAGAGAAAGAAGAUGCUGGUCCUGUGGCUAUUUGCCUCUCGUUUUUCCAUGACUUACCCUUUUGAAAUGACACUCUCAGGAUUGGGCUGAGAAGGCUGUUGGGCAGAAAUGCCUUCUCAGCCUGUGACUGUGGCGAGGGUCGGCGGAAAAAAGCUUGGAGCUGUAGAGCACAAACCCAAGUGAUGGGCAUGAGCUCCCAAGGCCUCAGUCUUCCCCAGACUGGAACAGUAGGGAGUUCACUUAGACCUCUCCGCUGGCUCCAAGAGGGGGAGCUCAUCACAUUGGUCUCCCCUCAGAUAGCGGCCUGCUCAGCAUGACCUUGGAGGGGUCACUCAGGUGGGAAUCGCCAUGCCUUGCCUAGAGGCAACUACCACAGUUACAACAUUUUGCCUUUACAUAGAAUUUUGAAGUGCUGCACAGAUCCUCUGUGUGGAACAGAUACCGGCCAUGUUGUACAGGUAGGAAAACUGACACAGAGAGGGAAAAACACCGAUCCAAGGUCACACAGCUUAUCAGCAGUUGACCUCGGUCCGUGCAGUGGAAAAGUCGGGUCUUGAAAUACAGUCAGCUGAAGAUGAACUGUGUGACCUUGGGUGAGUUAUUUAAUCUCUCUGGGUGCAGGCUUUCCUCUAUAAGAAGCGACUCGCUCCGAAGUUUAAGCAGAUCGGCUGAUCCCCUCUAAUAAGCCCAGGCACAGAGUAGCCUGGGCUUAUUAACCUCUGAGGUACUGAACGGUGUAUCGAAGAAUAUACAAAGCCACACUUUAAACAUCGCACUUCUUUCUUGAGCUUCAUUGCUAUACUUGGGUAUUUCCGGGCUUCACAUUGUAAUCACCUGAUGAGCUUCUGACAGAUACCCUCGUCAGGUCCCACUCUGAGCAAGCAAAGCAGCAUCCUGGGCAAGUGGUUAGUGCUCUGCGUGUUUGAAGAGCUGCCCGGGUGAGCCUUGUAUGCAGCAUGGGCUAGGUACGCUGAUUCACAGUUCUGAGUCGGCAGCUCAGGGAGCCCCAGAGGUUCAUGCCCACGGCGAGAAGCAGUGAUAGACGGACAGCUCCCUACCCUCCACCUCUCAACUACUGCUCAGACUGGUGUGCAGAUGAGACCGAAUUCCAGAAGACUGCGCCCCCAACAAGAGGAAAGGGAGUGAGCUUGGACAGAGGUGGAGAAGUUUGUUGGAGUGGAGGCAGGAAGGCUGUUCUAGGUUCGCUAGUUUCCCCCUAAAAUUCAUGUCCCUCCAGGACUCUCAGAAUGUGUUCUUAUUUCUUAUUAAAAUAGGGUCGUGGCGGACGUGAUUCACUAAGGUGAGGUGGAAUAGGGUAAGCCCUUAAUUCCUUGUGAAGUUUAAGCAGGAGAAUGACACAGAGAGGUAAAGACACCUACCCAAGUUCACACAGCAAAUAGGCAGUUGGCAUAGAUCAAUGCAGUGGUUAAAGGCAGGUCCUGGGAUACAUUUCCUUACAAGAAGAGGAGAGACAUGCAGAGAAAACGCCGCGUCAAGAUGGAGACAGGGAAUGGGCUACGGCGCACCCACAUGUCAGGGAACGCCCAGGAGAGUGGGCAACCAUCAGAAGCUGGAGAGAGGCCUGGAACAGAUGUUUUCUGAGGCCCUCAGCAGGAGCCAACCUUGUGGACACCUUGAUUUCAGACUUCUAGCCUCCAGAACGAUGGGGGAAUUUCUGUUGUAAGCCCAGCUUUACCAAGGUUGUGGUCCUCUGUUACAGCAGCCCUGGGAAAUGAAUAGAGGCUGACGUUAGUCCUCCUCCUGGGGCACUCAUACCGGGGCUGUGACAGGCUUGGAGCUGAGGAUUCUGGGAGCUGGGAAGGCAACAGCAGUGGGCUCAUUCCACUGAACAGCUGAGGGCACAGAGUAAAGUGUGAUCUGUCCAAAAUGUGCGUCUGUGCAGGUAAGACGAGAACAACGGGCUCAGUUGGUUCAUGCAUUCCUGCACUCAUUCACCUCCCACUUGGGGAGCCCCUACUAUGGGCCAGGCUCGGGAAACACAAAGAUACAGAGACCAGAGCCAGCCCUGACCUGCCCUGCAGCUGAGGGGUGUCUAUAGCUCCUUGGCGAGGAGACUGGGUCAAUGAAUAUUAAGAUUUCUUCCAGUUCUGACAACUGGUGGCUGAAAAGGGAGCUAGGGGGGCAGCCUGGUGAGACUGAGCUGCCACCUGGGCAUUUUGGGGGGCCAUGGCUAUCUCUCUGCCUGCAGGGGACACGUGCCUGUGAGGACAUGGAGCUGGAUCCCUGCUUUCCUCUGUAGGCACAGAUGGGGAAGCAUGCCUGACUGGAGGGCCACGGUGGUCAGGAACAAAAGCCGGGCCUGGCCUGCCCAUUGCAACCACUGGCGGGACACUGGAGGCGGUGAGACAGGCCUCAGCAGACACCACUAAUUGUACAAAACUGAAACAUCUAGAGAAUAUUUUCAGCCCAUUUGCACUUAUCAAAUAUCACACUGGAAACCCCAGAAAUGUGUGUAGGAUCCUUUCCAGAACAAGGGGGAUUUCACAAAUCUGGCCCGGUGCAGGGUGAGUUUCUUGGAAUUUCACUCUUGGAGUGGGCCCGAUCUCCCUGCUCUGGUUCACCCUGCCUGGGUCCCCAGGGCUCCAGCCCCUUCCCAGCCCACAUGCCCAGGUGGCUCUCGAGACCCACCCUCUAGCCACAAGCUUGUCUGUGCUCCUCUGGCUCUUUGGCUUCCCCUUCCCAGCUCUGGGAGGCCCGUGGCACUCAGCAGCUGGGGAUUCUGGCAGUCUAAGAACUCCAGAGUUCAGGGCCCGAGGUCGCUGUGGCCUCUGCUGUGGUUUUUCUGAAGCUCCAUUUCAUCGGGGCCAGAGGUGAACACUAGCCUCUGGAGACCCCAGCAGGCAGGGUCUGAAGCAAAGUUCAAGGAACAGUCGCUUCCAGCGUGGCUGGGGUGCUGGGCGUCUGGGUCAGAUGCGGCCUGCCAGCCCUUGGACAGGAGGCCACCGGACCGGGGGGACUGGAGAAGUGGCCCAAGGCAAAACGCCGUGUACCCAGCUUCCCGGCUUGGGCUUCCCACCAGUUUAACUACAGCCGUCAUCAUUAGCUCCCUGAAUGCUUUUAUUAAAAGUUCCAUGUUACCCAACACUUGAACAUAAUUAAAACAGAACAACCGUUUGCAGUUUACUUUACCUUUUAUGACCUCGCAGAUUUUUACAAGGAUGUCCCAGAACGCC